rnacentral:rRNA from 1 species
AGACCCGAAACCCGGUGAUCUAGCCAUGGGCAGGUUGAAGGUUGGGUAACACUAACUGGAGGACCGAACCGACUAAUGUUGAAAAAUUAGCGGAUGACCUGUGGCUGGGGGUGAAAGGCCAAUCAAACCGGGAGAUAGCUGGUUCUCCCCGAAAGCUAUUUAGGUAGCGCCUCGUGAAUUCAUCUCCGGGGGUAGAGCACUGUUUCGGCUAGGGGGCCAUCCCGGCUUACCAACCCGAUGCAAACUGCGAAUACCGGAGAAUGUUAUCACGGGAGACACACGGCGGGUGCUAACGUCCGUCGUGAAGAGGGAAACAACCCAGACCGCCAGCUAAGGUCCCAAAGUCAUGGUUAAGUGGGAAACGAUGUGGGAAGGCCCAGACAGCCAGGAUGUUGGCUUAGAAGCAGCCAUCAUUUAAAGAAAGCGUAAUAGCUCACUGGUCGAGUCGGCCUGCGCGGAAGAUGUAACGGGGCUAAACCAUGCACCGAAGCUGCGGCAGCGAACGUAUCACCCAAGACAACUUUACGGAGUUGACGAUUGACGGAGCGAAGCGACGUCAAAGCGUUCAUUAAAGUCGAGUUGGCUUAGGGAUACGUUCGUUGGGUAGGGGAGCGUUCUGUAAGCCUGUGAAGGUGUGUCGUGAGGCAUGCUGGAGGUAUCAGAAGUGCGAAUGCUGACAUAAGUAACGAUAAAGCGGGUGAAAAGCCCGCUCGCCGGAAGACCAAGGGUUCCUGUCCAACGUUAAUCGGGGCAGGGUGAGUCGACCCCUAAGGCGAGGCCGAAAGGCGUAGUCGAUGGGAAACGGGUUAAUAUUCCCGUACUUGGUGUUACUGCGAAGGGGGGACGGAGAAGGCUAUGUUGGCCGGGCGACGGUUGUCCCGGUUUAAGCGUGUAGGUGUGUGUUCCAGGUAAAUCCGGUUCACUUUAACACUGAGGCGUGACGACGAGGCACUACGGUGCUGAAGCAACAAAUGCCCUGCUUCCAGGAAAAGCCUCUAAGCAUCAGGUAACAUCAAAUCGUACCCCAAACCGACACAGGUGGUCAGGUAGAGAAUACCAAGGCGCUUGAGAGAACUCGGGUGAAGGAACUAGGCAAAAUGGUGCCGUAACUUCGGGAGAAGGCACGCUGACACGUAGGUGAAGUGAUUUACUCAUGGAGCUGAAGUCAGUCGAAGAUACCAGCUGGCUGCAACUGUUUAUUAAAAACACAGCACUGUGCAAACA